rnacentral:rRNA from 1 species
UGGCCAGACUCCUACGGGAGGCAGCAGUGGGGGAUAUUGCACAAUGGGGGGAACCCUGAUGCAGCGACGCCGCGUGGGUGAAGAAGUAUUUCGGUCUGUAAAGCCCUAUCGGCAGGGAAGAAUUUAGACGGUACCUGAGUAAGAAGCCCCGGCUAACUACGUGCCAGCAGCCGCGGUAAUACGUAGGGGGCAAGCGUUAUCCGGAUUUACUGGGCGUAAAGGGAGCGUAGACGGAUGGAUAAGUCUGAAGUGAAAGCCCGCGGCUCAACUGCGGGACUGCUUUGGAAACUGUGCAUCUUGAGUACGGGAGGGGCAGGCGGAAUUCCUGGUGUAGCGGUGAAAUGCGUAGAUAUCAGGAGGAACACCGGCGGCGAAGGCGGCCUGCUGGACCGAAACUGACGUUGAGGCUCGAAAGCGUGGGGAGCAAACAGGAUUAGAUACCCUCGUAUAU